rnacentral:rRNA from 1 species
CCUACGGGUGGCAGCAGUGAGGAAUAUUGGUCAAUGGGCGAGAGUCUGAACCAGCCAAGUAGCGUGAAGGAUGACUGCCCUAUGGGUUGUAAACUUCUUUUAUAAAGGAAUAAAACGAGGCACGUGUGCCUUUUUGCAUGUACUUUAUGAAUAAGGAUCGGCUAACUCCGUGCCAGCAGCCGCGGUAAUACGGAGGAUCCGAGCGUUAUCCGGAUUUAUUGGGUUUAAAGGGAGCGUAGAUGGGUUGUUAAGUCAGUUGUGAAAGUUUGCGGCUCAACCGUAAAAUUGCAAUUGAUACUGGCAGUCGUGAGUACAGUUGAGGUAAGCGGAAUUCGUGGUGUAGCGGUAAAAUGCUUAGAUAUCACGAAGAACCCCGAUUGCGAAGGCAGCUUACUAAACUGUGACUGACAUUGAUGCUCGAAAGUGUGGGUAUCAAACAGGAUUAGAUACCCGUGUAGUC